GUGCUUGUUUCGGCAGCACAAUUACUAAAACUGGAAUGAUGCAGAGAAGAUUACAUGGCCUCUGUGCAAGGAUGACAUGCAAAUUCAUGAAGCAUUCCAUAUUUUU